rnacentral:rRNA from 1 species
GACGAACGCUGGCGGCGUGCUUAACACAUGCAAGUCGAACGGAAAGGCCCUGCUUUUGUGGGGUGCUCGAGUGGCGAACGGGUGGGUAACACGUGAGUAACCUGCCCUUGACUUUGGGAUAACUUCAGGAAACUGGGGCUAAUACCGGAUAGGAGCUCCUGCUGCAUGGUGGGGGUUGGAAAGUUUCGGCGGUUGGGGAUGGACUCGCGGCUUAUCAGCUUGUUGGUGGGGUAGUGGCUUACCAAGGCUUUGACGGGUAGCCGGCCUGAGAGGGUGACCGGCCACAUUGGGACUGAGAUACGGCCCAGACUCCUACGGGAGGCAGCAGUGGGGAAUAUUGCACAAUGGGCGGAAGCCUGAUGCAGCAACGCCGCGUGCUGGAUGACGGCCUUCGGGUUGUAAACCGCUUUCGCCUGUGACGAAGCGUGAGUGACGGUAAUGGGUAAAGAAGCACCGGCUAACUACGUG